rnacentral:hammerhead_ribozyme from 1 species
AUCCAGCUGACGGGUCCCAAAUGAGACGAAACGCGCGCCUAGGAU